CAACUCCUGGGUGCAGCUUCACCCCUACCCAGGGGGCAGCCUCUCCCCAGCACAGCUCUUCAGAGAGGAAAGUCCGGCUGGCCUUCCACAUCCAUCAUACGUCUUCCCUCUCCAACUCUACUCCUCACUCAGACUGACCCCCGGCUGUGUCCCCCCCUACCUGCCUGCACCCAGGCUCCUACCUGCUGUGUGCCAGGUGGUCCCAGAGGUCAGUCGCUCUCUCUCCAGCAGCACAACUCCACCUACACCCAGCUUGGCCAAGUGGUACAGAGUCUGGCAGCCCAAACUGCCCCCACCAAUGACCACAACAUUGGCUGUGCUAGGCAGGGGCUGGCUUGGUCCUUGGGGCACCACAGAGGCACCUUGGGCCUCCUCCUUCAGGGUGCACUGGUAUGGAACACUCUUCUCAGUGGUGGGCCUGGCCUCCCUGGCUAGGGGCUGUAGCCCCAGGUUGCGAGCAGAUCUCC
rnacentral:lncRNA from 1 species